AUUGAACGCUGGCGGCAGGCCUAACACAUGCAAGUCGAACGAGUGGCGGACGGGUGAGUAAUGUAUGGGAAACUGCCCGAUGGAGGGGGAUAACUACUGGAAACGGUAGCUAAUACCGCAUACCAUCGGAUCGGCCCAGAUCGGAUUAGCUAGUUGGUGGGGUAACGGCUCACCAAGGCCACGAUCCCUAGCUGGUCUGAGAGGAUGACCAGCCACACUGGGACUGAGACCCGGUCCAGACUCCUACGGGAGGCAGCAGUGGGGAAUAUUGCACAAUGGGCGCAAGCCUGAUGCAGCCAUGCCGCGUGUAUGAAGAAGGCCUUCGGGUUGUAAAGUACUUUCGGCGGGGAGGCGUUACUUGCAGAAUAAGCACCGGCUAACUCCGUGCCAGCAGCCGCGGUAAUAC
rnacentral:rRNA from 1 species